rnacentral:rRNA from 1 species
AGUGAACGCUGGCGGUAGGCCUAACACAUGCAAGUCGAACGGCAGCACAGUAAGAGCUUGCUCUUACGGGUGGCGAGUGGCGGACGGGUGAGGAAUACAUCGGAAUCUACUUUUUCGUGGGGGAUAACGUAGGGAAACUUACGCUAAUACCGCAUACGACCUACGGGUGAAAGCAGGGGAUCUUCGGACCUUGCGCGAUUGAAUGAGCCGAUGUCGGAUUAGCUAGUUGGCGGGGUAAAGGCCCACCAAGGCGACGAUCCGUAGCUGGUCUGAGAGGAUGAUCAGCCACACUGGAACUGAGACACGGCCCAGACUCCUACGGGAGGCAGCAGUGGGGAAUAUUGGACAAUGGGCGCAAGCCUGAGCCAGCCAUACCGCGUGGGUGAAGAAGGCCUUCGGGUUGUAAAGCCCUUUUGUUGGGAAAGAAAAGCAGCAGGUUAAUACCCCGCUGUUCUGACGGUACCCAAAGAAUAAGCACCGGCUAACUUCGUG